CAAGCGGCGGAGCAUGCGGAUUAAUUCGAUGCAACGCGAAGAACCUUACCAAGGCUUGACAUACACCGGUAACGCCCAGAGAUGGGUGCCCCUUUGUGGUCGGUGUACAGGUGGUGCAUGGUUGUCGUCAGCUCGUGUCGUGAGAUGUUGGGUUAAGUCCCGCAACGAGCGCAACCCUCGUCCUAUGUUGCCAGCGGGUCGUGCCGGGGACUCAUGGGAGACUGCCGGGGUCAACUCGGAGGAAGUGGGGAUGACGUCAAAUCAUCAUGCCCCUUAUGUCUUGGGCUUCACGCAUGCUACAAUGGCCGGUACAAAGGGCUGCGAUACCGCGAGGUGGAGCGAAUCCCAGAAAGCCGGUCUCAGUUCGGAUUGGGGUCUGCAACUCGACCCCAUGAAGUCGGAGUCGCUAGUAAUCGCAGAUCAGCAACGCUGCGGUGAAUACGUUCCCGGGCCUU
rnacentral:rRNA from 1 species